AGCGGUCAGGGAAGUGGUCAAGGAAGCGGUCAGGGAUGUGGUCAAGGGAAUGGUCGGGGAUGUGGUCAAGGAAGUGGUCGGCGAUGUGGUCAGGGAUGUGGUCAUUGAAAUGGUCAUGGGAAUUUUGCAUAACACUUACUGGAGAUCUUUUCAAUUCAGUGCUUUAUUCAUAUUGCAUGUGUUCCCUGUUUGCUCAAACAGUUUAGAAAGAUUCUGUCUCUACCCCCACCUCACCCCACCUCCACCUCCUCAAAUAAAAAGAAUUGCUUGAUU